GAUUAGUAUGACAAAUAUCUUACUUCGUUACUCUGCUUUUGCUGUCAGCUCUGUUGAAAUGGUGAUUUAUUCUGUAUUUAUUCAUCUGCACCUUCCUCUACUUAUUCUGACUUUUUAUUUAGCUCCAAAAGCCAGUUUCAUGGUGGCUAUGCACAGUGCUUCUUUGGAAGGAAGCUCCUGUUCGUAAAAAUUUGUUCUCUUCAUUCUUCAGUUUUGAUUACUAACUUUUACAAUCUUUUAAUUUAUCAUCCAGAUAUUUUAGAUGUUGGCCCCUAUUUCCUCUUUUGAUGAGCUGAUCAUUUGCCUUCAUGAAGGAGAUAAAUUACUGUGUGAGGGGACAAUCAAAAGUUGUGCACCCUUCUGCAGAAGUUUUGCCACCCUGUCAGACCAUUUCAAUGUGAAACUAGGAUCCUCUUUCACAAUUAGAUGUAAUUUAUUGAUCUACAUGAGCCACAACUUUUGUGACCAAUGAAGUUAGGGAAUCAGGAUUGCCAACCGAGCCCUGGAUAUCCGUAGCGUGUUUCAACAUGGUUCCAGUGUCCUGACUACUACAUGUUUGCAACAUUGGAAAUGUAGCACAGUGGAGCAUUUUUCCAUGAUCCAUUGCCUUGUAAUAUUGGCAUUAUUGGAGGCACUUAUAGUUUUCACUGUGAUCUUGAAUUAACAGAAGGAAAUUUGAGCAGUUGGGUGAUGGAAGCUUCAUGGGCUGAACAUCUAAGAACCAAGGAGAAGUUAAAACAGUGUCCUUCAUUAGGAGACUCUUCCAUGCGUCAGGCAGAAGCAUCAUCCUCUCCUCUGUGACAAUUGAGUCCCUCCAGAAUCUAUUUGUACUAAUAUUGAAGUUUAAAUGCACAAUCUUUUGUUUGUUCAUGAUUGAAAGCCCAUUGGUCUCUUUAGUAGGAUUGGGCUGAUGGCAUUCUGUCAGACGAUAGUGAUGAGGCAUUAUUGCCUGAGAUGGUAUAUAUGGGUUUCAUCUACAUGCAGGUCACUGAAGCAUACACUAUCUAAGAUCUGCUACCGGCUGGAGAUGCCUACACCUGUCGUCAGGAAUAGGGGCAUUCAUAUUGGACGAAAGAAGCCUCUGUUUUCCAUCUCUACUAUGGAGUUAAACCAUGUGAAGAGCAUCAGUGUGCUGCUGAAUAUAUCAUCAUAUAACACUUGUUUCUUCCUCGUACUAGUAGAAAAACAUCUGUAGAAGAUGAAAUGGAUUCGCCAGAGGAGGAAUAUGAUUUCAGGACCUGUCAAAAAAUGAUGUCCAUCUGAAGCCACAGACAGCUCUUUGAAUACGGUAUCAAUCAAUCAAUCCAGAGCCAUCAACGAAUGCUGGCCUGCACAUGGCUCACCUGGUCAUCAUCCGACAUGAUAUCUUCCUGAUGAUACGGGGAGGAUUGCUAGUCCUGAAAACUCGAUCAUGCUUGCCCUGUAAUUGUGAGCUUCCUACAGGCAGCUCGUCAUCUAAAAGCCAUCCUAUCCUAUCCUUCGCAGCCCAAGUUAAGACACUCGAAGAAGAUUAGCACUACUGGGGAAGAGAGAGAAUCUAGCUUAUUAUUCCUGGAACUUGUGAUCUUUUUAUGGAGCUUAUAGUUUGCUGUUUCCGGUGCAGCCCCACUCGCUGAUACAACUCUUCUUUCUUCCCCGGAGAACAAAAGGAGGAGACCGACUGUUCUGGUAGAAUAAAAGCCGCAUGGCCCGAGUCACAUCAUAUGACUGUCGUCGUCUUCACUUCACUGCCUUCCCUUCAUUCAUGCGCUUCGACUUGAGGUACUUCCAAAAGGUCGUACGUUCGACGUCGAGACUUCCAAUUUCAUUUAUAGUUCGAAUUUAUGACAAUUAUUGUAUUCGAAUCGAUGGCCGAUAGUGGGUGGUAUUCGCAUCUAUUCACAUCGUCCACUUCAUGCGUGAAGAUUCUCA